ACAUUGGAACUGAGACACGGUCCAAACUCNUACGGGAGGCAGCAGUGAGGAAUAUUGGUCAAUGGACGAGAGUCUGAACCAGCCAAGUAGCGUGCAGGAUGACGGCCCUAUGGGUUGUAAACUGCUUUUAUAAGGGAAUAAAGUGAGUCUCGUGAGACUUUUUGCAUGUACCUUAUGAAUAAGGACCGGCUAAUUCCGUGCCAGCAGCCGCGGUAAUACGGAAGGUCCGGGCGUUAUCCGGAUUUAUUGGGUUUAAAGGGAGCGUAGGCCGGAGAUUAAGCGUGUUGUGAAAUGUAGACGCUCAACGUCUGCACUGCAGCGCGAACUGGUUUCCUUGAGUACGCACAAAGUGGGCGGAAUUCGUGGUGUAGCGGUGAAAUGCUUAGAUAUCACGAAGAACUCCGAUUGCGAAGGCAGCUCACUGGAGCGCAACUGACGCUGAAGCUCGAAAGUGCGGGUAUCGAACAGGAUUAGAUACCCUGGUAGUCCGCACGGUAAACGAUGGAUGCCCGCUGUUGGUCUGAAUAGGUCAGCGGCCAAGCGAAAGCAUUAAGCAUCCCACCUGGGGAGUACGCCGGCAACGGUGCAACUCAAAGGAAUUGACGGA
rnacentral:rRNA from 1 species